UGCCUAAACCACCAGCGCAAGCUGGUCGCAUGGCGACUAACUAAGACCAUAGAAAGCACUGAACCCCGCGUUCAGCAGCUUUCUAUGGCCAUGCCCGAAAGGGUAUGGGGCCGCAAGGCUC
rnacentral:sRNA from 1 species